AGAUGUGAAAAUGGAGAAAUGAAAGGUCAAAUACCUUGCUGAAUGUGAGCAGUUAAGAUUUCACCUCAGUUUUUCAGGAAAGUUGUCUGGCUGGCUAGCAGAAGGAAAUGGAGAGUAAAGCUCAUCAGCAGAGGAAGCAGCUACAGAUACCAUACUCAGCCACAACAAAGGAUCCAAUCCAUCACAGCUUUUUCCACUAGAUUUGUUUUUUUCCAAAAUCCAGACUGAUCCUAUUCUGACACUACUUUACAAAUCCAAUGUAUUUUCAGUCUGCUUUCCCCUCAUUUCCUGCUGUUUAGUUGCACAUUGAAGCUAAUCUGUGCUCUCAAAAGUUGUUAUGUUGUUGACCCAAAUAAUUAUCAGACUAUCUCAGUACUACCAAUUGCUUCAGUUGUUUUUGAAAUUGGUUUGAAAAGUGUGGCUUUCAAAUCUACUCAAGAGACUAUAACUGUUUUUGUCUAUAUUGAGUGGGUUCUGUAGCUAAGUGAGAUGACUUAGUUGCUCGAGUCUCAUAUUUAUAUAGACUUAGUCCCUAAGAAAAUGAAUGAGAGGAAUAAAUCUUAUAAUGAUUUACAUUACCUCAGUGUUGUAAUGGAUUUGAAAAGUUUAAUGAGAAUUUGAU